rnacentral:rRNA from 1 species
UGCCCACUGAUAAAUUAUUGAAGGGCUGCAGUAUUUUGACUGUACAAAGGUAGCAUAAUCAUUAGUCAUUUAAUUGAUGACUUGUAUGAAAGAUUGGAUGAAAUAUAAACUGUCUUUAAAAUAAAUUAUAGAAAUUAAUUUUUUAGUUAAAAAGCUAAAAUAUUAUAAAAAGACGAGAAGACCCUAUAGAGUUUUAUUUUCAAAUUGAAUUAAGAUUUUUUAUAAAUUUAAUAAUUUAAAUUUAUUUGAAUAUUUUAUUGGGGUGAUAAAAAAAUUAAAUAAACUUUUUCUUUUUUUAGACGUGAAUAAGCGGUUAAUUGAUCCAAUUUUAUUGAUUAUAAGAUUAAAUUACCUUAGGGAUAACAGCGUAAUUUUUUUUUUUAGUUCAAAUAAGAAAAAGAGUUUGCGACCUCGAUGUUGGAUUAAGAUAAAAUUUAAAUGCAGAAGUUUAAAAUUUUGA